CAGUAGCCACGGGAAUACGAGGGGGGCAAGCGUUGUUCGGAAUUAUUGGGCGUAAAGGGUGCGUAGGCGGUUUGGCAAGUCUUAUGUGAAAUCUUCGGGCUCAACCCGAAGUCUGCAUGAGAAACUGCCGGGCUUGAGUAUGGGAGAGGUGAGUGGAAUUUCCGGUGUAGCGGUGAAAUGCGUAGAUAUCGGAAGGAACACCUGUGGCGAAAGCGGCUCACUGGACCAUAACUGACGCUGAGGCACGAAAGCUAGGGGAGCAAACAGGAUUAGAUACCCCCGUAGUCCCUGUCUCUUAUAC
rnacentral:rRNA from 1 species